rnacentral:rRNA from 1 species
AUGGAUGAGAUUAUUGGGGAGGAACAAAGUCCUUUUGUGCCAGGACAGUUGAUCACUCACAACGUCCUAGUAGAUUAUGAAAGUGUGCAUGCAAUGAAGGAAAAGAAGCGAUGCAAACAAGCCUCAUGUGCUGUCAAACUCGACAUGUUGAAAGCUUAUGAUCGUGUCGAAUGGCAUUAUUUGGAGGCGAUGUUAGUCAGACUGGGGUUCUGUGACAAGUUCGUGCGUCUCAUUAUGAAGUGUGUCACCUCCAUCCGAUUCACGGUCAAGGCAGUAAACCGGGAGAAGAGUGCAGUUUACUUCAGUCCUAAUGUGUUACCACCUCUAAGGGCUGAGAUUAAACAGACACUAGGAAUUCUUGUGGAAGCUUUUACCGAACGCUACUUGGGUUUACCAACAGCGGUCGGCAGGAUCACAAGUGGAAGUUUCUCUCAUAUUGGUGAGAGAAGCCGGAGUAAGAUGCAAGGUUGGUUAGAAAAGAAUUUGUCAUGUGCCGGGAGGGAAGUUUUGCUCAAAUUAGUGGUCCAAGCCAUCCCUAUGUUCAGCAUGUCUUGCUUUCAACUGACCAAGGGGGUCUGCUCACAAUUAACUUCUUCCAUGGCUAAAUAUUGCUGGAGAAGUGAUAUUGACAGGAGAUCUCUUCAUUGGCUGUCUUGGAAGAAUCUCUUUGUACCGAAAGCAGAAGGAGGCAUGGGUUUUCGUGACUUUGAGCUUUUUAAUUUAGCCCUACUUGUUUCUUGGACGCUACAGCGCCUCGCUCGGCGUCUGCUACGUGGAAAGCUAUUAUUUCAGGUCGAGAUGCGUUGGAGCAAGGCUUGA